UCGGUAGCGGUGUGUGUGUGUGUGGAGGGGGGAGGGGGCCGUCAGCGCCCCGUGCGUGCCGCAGCCGGUCACGUGGGCGGCGGGACCGGAGCCGGCGGUCGCGAGAGGCUGAGGCGGCGCUGGCGGCGCAGGCAGCACCAUGGCGGCGGCGCUGGGCGGCCUGGGUCUCCUGCAAGGACGAGUCAGGCUGGCAGCCGCAGCCGCCGCGACCUCCUCCCUCGGCCGGCCUGGCCGGCGGGCGCCGGUGCGGGGAGGCGCCGCCACCGCUCUCCCCUCGGCCGGUAGGAGCUACAGUUCUGAGGCGAAGGAAGAGGAGGAGCUGCGGGUCCGGUACCUGGAUGACGAGCACAAAGGAAUCGUGGUGCUUGGGUUAAACAGAUCUUAUGCCAAGAAUGCACUUAACAAAAAUCUUUUAAAAAUGAUGUCAAAAGCUGUGGAUGCUUUGAAAUCUGAUAAGAAAGUACGAACUGUUAUAUUCCGGAGUGAAGUCCCGGGGAUAUUCUGUGCUGGUGCUGACCUUAAAGAAAGAGCAAAAAUGCAUUCAAGUGAAGUUAGCUCUUUUGUCUCAAAAGCAAGAGCAACUAUUAAUGAAAUGGCUAAUCUGCCUGUACCUACUAUUGCUGCAAUAGAUGGAACUGCAUUAGGUGGUGGCCUGGAACUUGCAUUAGCCUGUGAUAUUAGAGUGGCAGCUUCUUCUGCUAAAAUGGGCCUAGUUGAAACAAAGUUGGCAAUCAUUCCAGGUGCAGGGGGGACACAGAGAUUACCUCGCACAAUUGGAGUGUCUUUGGCAAAAGAACUAAUCUUCUCUGCACGUAUUGUAGAUGGUGAGGAAGCAAAAUCAAUAGGGUUGAUUAGCCAUGUGGUAGAUCAGAAUGAAGCUGGGGAUGCUGCAUACAGAAGAGCAUUAGCUCUGGCAAAAGAAUUUUUACCUCAGGGACCAGUAGCAAUGAGAGUUGCAAAACUGGCCAUCAAUCAGGGAAUGGAGGUCGACUUAGUAACAGGUUUAGCAAUUGAAGAAGCUUGUUAUGCUCAGACUAUUCCAACAAAAGAUAGAAUUGAAGGUCUUCUUGCAUUUAAGGAGAAGAGACCUCCUCGCUACAAGGGAGAAUAGAAGAAGCUGAUGCCUUUAAAAUACAGUGGGAUAAAAGUACUGCUGUGAGGACCAUUAAGGUGCACUUUGCAUCUGUACCUGGAAUAUCACAACCACCAAAGUAAAAGCAAAUCAUACCAAUGUUACAACAUUUUGAAUGUGUCCAUACUUGUACUCGGUCCAAAUAGAAAUGUGUGUCAACUUAUGCUCAUUACACUUUCUGAAGGUUCAUGUGUGUAUUGGCAAGGUCACAGGUUCAUGCAGCAUUUUAAAAAUGUCAUAUGUAUGAAAUAUACCAUUCCACAAUUGAAAAAGCUCUGUAAAUUCUUUAUAUAGAAAAAACCUAUAUGUGAUGUUAAGUAUAAAUCUGCUGUAUCAUUUUAUCAAAGCAAGAGUGACUACUGAACACCAAAAAUAAGAAAUUGUACCACAUAUGCUUUAAAAUGAUUCUGUGUAUCAGUAAAAAUUAUAUUUGAGUAUUCUACCUGAGUACGUACAUUAUUAAUAAAGCUAAGGGAAAUGAAAAGGAUUAUUGUUUGGAAAAUGUUAAGCUUUAUUUAUCUGACUUACACUAUUCUAAGUAAAAUGAAAUUAACUUUAGCACAUAAUGGUGUCCUUUUGAUGAAGUCAUUGCCAUUAUAUUAAUUUAAUUGUAUUAAAUGAAGACAUUUUUGAGGCCAGACUUUAAUUAUGCAUUCUUAUAUGUUAAACCUGGCUUGUAUUCUUCCAGCAUAUCAUCUGGUCAGCACUGUCUGCUCUGAAGGAACUUUAUUUCACUUUCCCCAGUUAUUUUAAAUUUUUGAUGAUUGUAUUAGAGAUUGUUGUGCAGGGAUGCGACUAAUGAGCUGUUAAAGAAACUAGUAUUCUCUUAAUCUCCAGAAUAUUCCUUCUGCAGGUCCUAAUAAUGUAUAUUUAUAUAUACCAGGGAUGAUACUGAAAUGUUCUUUAUUCUGUGGCGGCCUCAGGGUUCUUUUCAUACAUUGAAAGAGAAAUCCAGUAAGUUACAAGGAGAAGAUCCUGUCAUAUUGCAGCAAUUUGAGUCCCUUGUUUGAAGUCAACAGUUUGAAUAUUUUUACAAAGUGAGUACCAGUAGGACAAUUUUUAAAGGUACUUUCCAGUGGCGUUGAAAUUGUUCUUAAGGAACUAUAUUUUAGCAAAAGGUGUGUUAAGCACUUACUGUCUCUGUUACUAAGUGAUGUGUUGUGAUGGCUGCAGUAUUCAUGAUUAAUACAGCAAUAUUAGAAUUCUGCUUCUACAAGAGGGUGAUUUAUAACAGAAAUGCUCUCAUAAAGGCUGACUUUUCCUUAUGAAAGUUAUGAUCUGGCAAAUCCUCCUUUUAAGUGCUUAGGUUCAGCUCUUUCAGUUCCUGGUGAAGCCAUGCUUUUCUUCACAAUACCUCAUGGGUGAGGGAGCCCUGGUCCCCGCUGGCUUCCUGAAAGGUUAUCUCAUGGUCCCUAGGUGUAAGCAGCUUUUUCUCCUGUUGCUGCUGAGCUCAAGUGGAUAGUGAGUUCUUCUGCACUUCGCCACUGAGUUGGAUAUUGAAAAGUUACAAUACAGGUAGGUCUGUUACCUUCAGCUGAUCACCUCUCAAAGGUGUAAGUGCAAGUUCAACUUACUGAAUUGCCUAGAAAUUCUGAGUUUCCUGCAGAAAUUAGUGUGACUUUAUCUAACACAUGUCAUUUUAGUCUUUAAUCUAUGAAAGCAUUUGUGUUUUCUCUUCAAUAUUACUGAACUAACUCACAUUCUUACUAGUUUUACUAAAUUUCUAGAUAAAGUUUUCAGAAUUGUCUGAAUGGCUUGUCAGUUCAGUGCUUUUGAGUAUCUCACUGGCUAUGAAGAAAUAUGGUGUUUUAUUUAUUCUAAGUUUAUGUAAUGAUACAGUUAAGAGCCCUUGGAGAAUGUUUUCCUAUGGAACAUUUCUAUGAGAUUUGCAGAGCCAUGCGUGCCAAAUUGUAGCUGAAAUUCUGUCAGUCUACGUGCAGCUACUCAUAGUCCUACACCAAGGUUCGUAUCAUUGCUUUCUAGAACUGCUUUUAACGAGCUGUAUUCAGAAUAGUAAACAUCAGGAUGUAUCAUUUGCAGCUGUUUCAUAUUUUCCUCGGUCAUUGCAUUUAACCAUAAUCAAAUUUGUUGAAGAGAACAAAAAAUAACAGGUCUCUCCAACACAGGAGAGGGCAGAAUAUCAUGCUGCUCAGAAUCUGGUUUUGGGAAACAUAGGGAGUAAAGGAAGGGUUUUGGUACUAGUGUCACUUCACAUAGCAAAACCAACUCAUAGAUGCAAAGUGAAAAGAGUAAUUGAAACAUCUUAAUUUAUCACCAACUUAGUUUUUGUUUCAUUGCUUUUCCAUGCAAGCAAAUCCCUGAAAAGGUGUCUACUGAGAUUAGAGAGAGGAUUUACAUUUAAAAAAAUAUAAUUGAAAUCCAUUGGUAUUUCAUGUGGUAUAAAUGGAACAAGAUGUGCUUUCAUUUCUCAUUUGUGGGAUUUUAGCCUUGUUCUUGUACCUAAUGACACUGCUGAAAAGCCAUAGGGCUUCACUGUCUAGUGAGGCUGAUACAGUUAGUGUACUCGAGGUGUGAUGAUGAUUAUGUUGAUGUGGUUAUUUUAAGAUGUUCUUCUUCUGCACACUUGUAGAAAGACAGCUAUCUCCAAAAAUGAGAAAAAGGAGAAUAAUUGCAAACAAAUAAACCAAAAGGAGGGAUGUGUUCAGCUAAAGGUAAUGAAAUUCCUCUUGUGUAUUUUGAGGGAUUACAAAGACUAACUUUUCUAUUUAUGUCUUUUUUUUUCUGUUGCUUUUUGUUUUCUCUGAGUCUGGAGGUUGGACACCAGGGUGCAGGGAAAGCUUUUAAGAAUUUGUAUGGGUUGUUUUCACUUUAAGAACAUUGACAUUUCAUAAGCAAAGUUAGGAAAGUUUAAAAAUUUUCCUAAAAGGUUUUUGAAAGAUGUAAUCAGAAAUGAUCGUGUUAUCACCAAAGAUUAGGUAAGAUACCUUUUUUAUUAUAGAUUUAAGUCAUGUUCAGUUUCAACCUUGGAACAGAGUUGAACAGAACUUUUGUGAGUUAUGCAGAAUGUACUGUGCUUAUGCAAUGUAUUCAUUAUGCAUUAUAAUAUAUGUGUGUGUAUACUGACAUGUCGUAUGCAUGCAUAUGUAUGUGUAUGUGCAUAUGUGUACAUAUAAAUAAAAUUCUUCAGACUGUUGGAUGAGAUCAAACCCCCUCAGGAUGUGAUAGUACUAUCCAACCAGGAAGUUUUGAAUCUGUUUGUGCAAGAGCACUACCAGCAAAAACCUUGAACCCCACACAGCAUGCGCUGUGACUGCUACAAGUGGCCAUACUUACAGCAUGGAAGUUUUGUAACGCAGAAAUUCUGCUGCAGAAGCAGCAGUGAUGUAGGAAUGUAUGUCACUGUAUAUCUAGUCGUGCUCAUCUGGUAAUUCAAGAGUAGAAUAAACGUAGCAGAAGUUGAAGUUAGUUCUAAGUUUCAACAAAGGUGUGGCAUCCGGAUAGCACAUUCCUCCCAGUCCUAUAGUAUCGUUUGCUUCUGCAGUUUGGACAGGCCUACAGCAAUCAUGAGCAGCUCAUUAAUCAACAACUGUUGUAGAUUAUAAGUUCAGUCUCCACCCCCCCUUAAAUAAGUCUAGACUUAGAUUUCAUCUUCAAAUUUUAUCUAGUAGAUAAUUCUUCCAAGGACGCUCAUUCACAUGGGAAGAAAUAUGAAGUAUGUUAAAAGAAUUUAUUACAGAGGGUGUGAACAUUCUGUGUCAAAGCUAAGUCCUAUUGCAAUACUUGAGUUCAAAAUAGUACAUUAACCCUCUAAGGCAUAGUCUCUACAUGUAUGUUUAUAAAUUCUUCAAAGUUCUGGCUAGUGACUACUACUCUUUGAUUAUAAUUUCUGAAGCAUAUGCUAAUAAAGCUUUUGUAACAUUAAAG